GGGAGAAAAUGGAAACACAUUGUGAGAGGUUCCUUCUGUGAAAAAAGUGCAACUUUGUGACAUGAUACGCCUUCCUGACUGUAUAUACCUGGGCAGCAUACAGCUUAUUGCGGCAUAAAAGAAACAUAUCAAGAUAAUUUUGAAUCGGAUUGUGUGCUGGAAAAAUGGCCUUACAUCCAAAGGAGUGAAAUUUGGAGAGUCAUUUG
rnacentral:lncRNA from 1 species